rnacentral:rRNA from 1 species
UACAGAGGUCUCAAGCGUUGUUCGGAUUCAUUGGGCGUAAAGGGCGCGUAGGCGGCGUGGUAAGUCACUUGUGAAAUCUCUGAGCUUAACUCAGAACGGUCAAGUGAUACUGCUGUGCUAGAGUGCGGAAGGGGCAAUCGGAAUUCUUGGUGUAGCGGUGAAAUGCGUAGAUAUCAAGAGGAACACCUGAGGUGAAGACGGGUUGCUGGGCCGACACUGACGCUGAUGCGCGAAAGCCAGGGGAGCAAACGGG